UACGGAGGGUGCAAACGUUGCUCGGAAUCACUGGGCGUAAAGCGCACGUAGGCGGCUCGAAAAGUCGGAUGUGAAAGCCCUGGGCUCAACCUAGGAAGUGCAUUCGAAACUGCCGAGCUUGAGUACGGGAGAGGGUUGCGGAAUUCCUGGUGUAGCGGUGAAAUGCGCAGAUAUCAGGAAGAACACCCGUGGCGAAGGCGGUUCUCUGGAACGCAACUGACGCUGAGACGCGAAAGCGUGGGGAGCAAACAGG
rnacentral:rRNA from 1 species